GGCCCAGCAUGCCUUGAAUUUUUUUUUUUUUAAAUGAUGCCCCUCCUGACUCCAUCGCAUAGUCUCUCUUGCCGAAGAUCCAAGAAUGUCAAGGUAUAGAAAUGCCAUUCAGUGGAAAAGAAAAGGCGUUUUGUGUGUUAGAGUACGCUCAAACACAGUCGAACAAGACUGCAGCGUGCAUUUAUGAGAGAAUUCUCUAAAUGCACCGACUGCAAUGCAGAUCUGGACACGCCACAAAAAGUUCAAAGAGGAAGGCUGUGUGUGUCUCAGGCGGCGCGCAUAUUGAAAAUUUGUGAAUCGAUCAUGGACUCCACAUACCUUUUGAAUUUCUUAUUCACAUUUUGAGGAAUAAAUCUUAUACUGCUCAACA